CAAUGAUUUUUACUGAAUCGGCAAACAUUCGUCGCAUUAGUUGUUUGAUAAAAUUAGCAAUUUAAGCUGAUACAAAUGUUAAAGUUACUUUUUCGACUUGAAAAAAAAAAUUAAGUGCUGGUUCUUAACAAUAUUCAAUGAUCUAAAAAUAAAAUUUAAGUGAAGGAAUAGAAUGGUUUAUGUUCAGGUUUUUCUACUAUCAAUUAUAACCUCCUGUUUUAUAACAAGGCUGAUAUAAUAUACAGGGUGUUCAGUAAAUAAGGAAACGAAUUUCUAUUGUAAUCAUUGUUUGUAACAAUUUAACUGUUUCCUAACUUACUGAACACUCUGUAUAGUAUUUUUUAAAUAACCUUUGAUUCAAUGGAUUACGAUACUCUUAUCCUUAUACUCAGCGAGUCUGAAUUAAGUGACUUUUAAUGUCCUGGUUUAGAUUUUAUCUUAAAAGCAGAUAUCAUUGGGACAAGAUACAUGAUCAAAUUUAGAAUAUAGCUGAAUAGAUUCGGAUGCUGAAAUUUUAAGUGAUUCUUUACAAUUUGAAAUAAUAGAAUGUAACUUUUUGUAUUUGACAAUUUAAGAAAUAAAUAAAAUGAAAAAUAUCAAAAAUAAUCGAAAGAAAUACAAUAUUUAUUAUUAUAUAACAUAAUUAUUAUUUUAUGAAA